rnacentral:rRNA from 1 species
CCGGCGGCCAAAUCCGACGGGGACGAAGGAGACGCCCGGCGAGCCGCGACGACCGAGGCCGAGGAACCGGGCAGAUCCGAGUCGGGAGGCGCGGCGCCGGGGCGGAUCGGGACGGGGGGCUGGGGUUGCUUACCGGCGGCCGGACGGGGCGAGGGGCCGGCGCCUCCCUCCGGCGGUGCGAGAGGAGGGGAGGGGACGAGAAGCUUCAAGGAGGAAGUGGUGGAAGGAAG